rnacentral:tRNA from 1 species
AAGAAGGCCCAACCGGAGCUGCUAACUCACGGAUCCUAGGACUAAACUCCCAGACUUCUUG